ACGCUACAAUGGGUGGUACAAUUGGUUGCGACAGAGCGAUCUGGGGCUAAUCUAUAAAGCCAUCCUCAGUUCGGAUUGCAGGCUGCAACUCGCCUGCAUGAAGCCGGAGUUGCUAGUAACCGCAGGUCAGCAUACUGCGGUGAAUACGUUCUCGGGGCCUUU
rnacentral:rRNA from 1 species